UAACAAGGAUUCCCCUAGUAACUGCGAGUGAAGCGGGAAAAGCUCAAAUUUAAAAUCUGGCGGUCUUCAGCCGUCCGAGUUGUAAUCUGGAGAAGCGUUUUCCGUGGCGGACCGUGUACAAGUCUCUUGGAACAGAGCGUCAUAGAGGGUGAGAAUCCCGUCCAUGACACGGACUACCGUUGCUUUGUGAUACGCUCUCGAAGAGUCGAGUUGUUUGGGAAUGCAGCUCAAAAUGGGUGGUAAAUUCCAUCUAAAGCUAAAUAUUGGCGAGAGACCGAUAGCGAACAAGUACCGUGAGGGAAAGAUGAAAAGCACUUUGGAAAGAGAGUUAAACAGUACGUGAAAUUGUUGAAAGGGAAACGCUUGAAGUCAGUCGCGUCGUCCGGGACUCAGCCUUGCUCUUGCAUGGUGUACUUCCCGUUCGACGGGUCAACAUCGAUUUUGACCGGCGGAUAAAGGCGGGGGGAAAGUGGCACCUUCGGGUGUGUUAUAGCCCCUCGUUGUAUGCGUCGAUUGGGAUCGAGGACCGCAGCAGCCGCAAGGUUCCGCUAUUAAGAUGUUGGCAUAAUGGCUUUAAGCGACCCGUCUUGAAACACGGACCAAGGAGUCUAACAUGCUCGCGAGUGUUAGGGUGGAAAACCCUUGCGCGUAAUGAAAGUGAAAGUUGGGACCCUUGUCAUGAGGGGCACCGACGCCCGGCUCUGACCUUCUGCGACGAUGCUGCGGUAGAGCGCGUAUGUUGGGACCCGAAAGAUGGUGAACUAUGCCUGAAUAGGGCGAAGCCAGAGGAAACUCUGGUGGAGGCUCGUAGCGAUUCUGACGUGCAAAUCGAUCGUCAAAUUUGGG
rnacentral:rRNA from 1 species